AUGAACGCUGGCGGCGUGCCUAAUACAUGCAAGUCGAGCGAACAGACGAGGAGCUUGCUCCUCUGACGUUAGCGGCGGACGGGUGAGUAACACGUGGAUAACCUACCUAUAAGACUGGGAUAACUUCGGGAAACCGGAGCUAAUACCGGAUAAUAUAUUGAACCGCAUGGUUCAAUAGUGAAAGACGGUUUUGCUGUCACUUAUAGAUGGAUCCGCGCCGCAUUGGCUAGUUGGUAAGGUAACGGCUUACCAAGGCGACGAUGCGUAGCCGACCUGAGAGGGUGAUCGGCCACACUGGAACUGAGACACGGUCCAGACUCCUACGGGAGGCAGCAGUAGGGAAUCUUCCGCAAUGGGCGAAAGCCUGACGGAGCAACGCCGCGUGAGUGAUGAAGGUCUUCGGAUCGUAAAACUCUGUUAUUAGGGAAGAACAAAUGUGUAAGUAACUAUGCACGUCUUGACGGUACCUAAUCAGAAAGCCACGGCUAACUACGUG
rnacentral:rRNA from 1 species